rnacentral:rRNA from 1 species
GAUGAACGCUAGCUACAGGCUUAACACAUGCAAGUCGAGGGGAAACGACAUCGAAAGCUUGCUUUUGAUGGGCGUCGACCGGCGCACGGGUGAGUAACGCGUAUCCAACCUGCCCAUCACUUGGGAAUAACCUUGCGAAAGUAAGACUAAUACCCAAUGACAUCCCACGAAGACAUCUGAAUGGGAUUAAAGAUUUAUCGGUGAUGGAUGGGGAUGCGUCUGAUUAGCUUGUUGGCGGGGUAACGGCCCACCAAGGCAACGAUCAGUAGGGGUUCUGAGAGGAAGGGCCCCCAAAUUGGAACUGAGACACGGUCCAAACGCAUACGGGAGGCAGCAGUGAGGAAUAUUGGUCAAUGGGCGAGAGCCUGAACCAGCCAAGUAGCGUGCAGGAUGACGGCCCUAUGGGUUGUAAACUGCUUUUAUAAGGGAAUAAAGUGGGUCUCGUGAGACUUUUUGCAUGUACCUUAUGAAUAAGGACCGGCUAAUUCCGUG